GUGACAUCCUCAGUCCUGCAAUUAGGGUCCCACGUGUGCCUAAUACUUGACGACAGAUGUGUGAUGAUGAUGCUAUGCUGGGAGCCAUGCAGGAUGCCAAACUGUAGGCCAAGAGGAAGAGGAGGAACAAAGGUGCCUGGUUUAAGGGGAGAACAAGACCACAGACUACUGACAACAUCAUGAUGUUCCCCUCCAGCCACAAGACCUGGCAGUGGAUGGGGAGACAGGGACCCCCGAGACGCUGAGUUCAGCUCGGGACAUCCCGGUGGAGCCCCUGGUGGGAAGCAGCUGUUCUACCUGCCAGGACACGAGCCCGGGACCGCACAGAUGCAGUGACACCCAGUGCCCGGCACAGCAGGAGGAGCCCAUGUGCCCGAGCUCUCUGGAUGAGGCCUGCACGAUGCUGACCCUCGGCGAAAGAACUGUGGAGAUGUUGGUCUCCCUGAUGCAAACCUCCCCUGGGCGGAAGUUCUCCUCUGUUACCACCAUCCUUCCUACCGGCCUGGCCUUCCCCAUUCCCGCGCGGAUCCUGCAGCAGAUGCUGCGCUGACAUUGCUCCAGCCCCAGCAGUUGUCCCAGAACCACCUGAGGAGCUGGGCCUGCCUCCGCGGGAUGCCCCAGAGCCGGAGCCUCUCGAAGCCUCAGCUGCGGCCGCAGCACAAUGGGCAGAGCUGGAGGACGCCGGGCC